CUGCAUGGCUGUCGUCAGCUCGUGUCGUGAGAUGUUGGGUUAAGUCCCGCAACGAGCGCAACCCUUAUCAUUAGUUGCUACGCAAGGGCACUCUAAUGAGACUGCCGGUGACAAACCGGAGGAAGGUGGGGAUGACGUCAAGUCCUCAUGGCCCUUAUGGGUAGGGCUUCACACGUCAUACAAUGGUCGGUACAGAGGGUUGCCAAGCCGCGAGGCGGAGCCAAUCCCACAAAGCCGAUCGUAGUCCGGAUUGUUCUCUGCAACUCGAGAGCAUGAAGUCGGAAUCGCUAGUAAUCGCAGGUCAGCAUACUGCGGUGAAUACGUUCCCGGGUCUU
rnacentral:rRNA from 1 species